GAUGAACGCUGGCGGCGUGCCUAAUACAUGCAAGUCGAGCGAACAGACGAGGAGCUUGCUCCUCUGACGUUAGCGGCGGACGGGUGAGUAACACGUGGAUAACCUACCUAUAAGACUGGGAUAACUUCGGGAAACCGCAGCUAAUAACGGAUAAUAUAUUCAACCGCAUGGUUCAAUAGUGAAAGACGGUUUUGCUGUCACUUAUAGAUGGAUCCGCGCCGCAUUAGCUAGUUGGUAAGGUAACGGCCUACCAAGGCGACGAUGCGUAGCCGGCCUGAGAGGGUGAUCAGCCACACUGGAACUGAGACACGGUCCAGACUCCUACGGGAGGCAGCAGUAGGGAAUAUUGCGCAAUGGGCGAAAGCCUGACGGAGCAACGCCGCGUGAGUGAUGAAGGUCUUCGGAUCGUAAAACUCUGUUAUUAGGGAAGAACAAAUGUGUAAGUAACUAUGCACGUCUUGACGGUACCUAAUCAGAAAGCCACGGCUAACUACGUG
rnacentral:rRNA from 1 species